UAAAGCAUCGGUCGAACAGUUGAUUUUUCACUGUAAAUCUGGAAAUUACGAUUACUGCUUCGAGUUAUUGCCUACUAUUCUAGUCGCUGUUAAAAAUUUGAUUUGUGAUAAGCUGGUUUUGAAACUUUUCUGUGGUAAUUGGACUAAAUUGAUAAUUGUUAUGAGUUCUCUAGAAAGAUUGCAUGACAUGCAUGCUCUACUAGACGAGACCGUGAACAAAUUUGGCUGAAUUGUGAAGAGAAAAUUUGUAUCAUGAAAUGCUUUGGAUUGAAAGUGAAGAAUUUAAACUGCAAUGCUUUUAAUGAACUGAUGGGUACUAAACGGAAACCCAUCAGCAGUUACCAUAUUUGAAAACUUUCCAAAUGAGGAAAUCGAGUUGUGUAAAGUUGCAUUUCGUCAAAGUUGACUUAUUUGCUGUUAGUUUCUAUGGAAAGGCGAAAUGGAAAACAGGAAUACUCCGAAUAGUUGCCAACUUUUACUUGUCCUCGUGUCAUGUCGUAGCUGUCUCCGCUGCAAAAGUGACGGAAGUUAGGUGAGACUAACUUUCAUCACUCCAAAGUGUUUAAUUGAGUUUAGAACAAAACACUAACUUAGUUGUUAACACUGUAUACUUUGAUGUUACACAGCUUCGCCGCUUGACAGAGAAGAGUUGCUUCAAGCGGACUCCAUUGAAGAUGACAGCUUUUUGCAAUUGCAGCUGAGAAGAAAGUUGUUCCGGGAUUACCUUUCAUCUUUGAGUAUUUCUGCGUACAAAACAAUAACAUCGGUCCCGAAAAGUAAUACGGGAUUAAAUUUUAAAACAGAGGUGGAAAUAAGCCCAUGUUGGGCAUGAAAAUGUGAAUCAAGAUUUCCGAUUGUGAAUAAAAAAGCCGAACACCGUGAACUAAAAAAAGUUGGGUAUCAAACUAAAAUUGCUAUUGAGGACCUUUUUAAAUUCGAAUCGUCGAGUCGUCCGGCACGGCAGGAACCAUUAUUGGAAUAGUUUGCGGUAGAUGAAAACUAAAAUGCUGAGAAGCGGGCAAGUGGUGCGAUGCUAGACAAAGGAUCCGAAUCGUUAGGCAUAGAGUUCAAUACCAGGACUAGGAUCAGGACCAACAAGCUUGAGGCUCUAAUUUUCUCCAAUUAACUUCGAUUCAACAUGCGAGCUUUAAACUUAUUAGUAUCCGAUGAGAUGUUGUUCGACACUUUCGGGCUAUAAACAUUCAAUCUACCACAGUUCUUGUUUGCCGGCUUCGAACAGUACAUGCACCACAAGCCAAUGGUUGGCACCAUAUUACAUUUCCAAGCGGAUUUUACACAAAUAGUAAACACUUCUAAAGUAGUAUUCAUAACGCCAUCGUGGAACACGAUUACCAGCUCAGUCCGGACUUUACGUUUGACUGUGUCAGACAACUUGGUACACAGACUCGGAGUCACACUUGCCAUAUAGACAGUGAAUCACUACCCAGCCUCUUUGGCUACGACCAUGAACGCAGUUGGGAAGAGUGAUGCAUUUAAAAUAUGCAAACUACGAAGAACAAAUGUCCACCGUUCCGCUGCCAUCACCCACAUCGUGACUGUUGGUGGCAGUUUUUAUUCAUUUGCCUAUCCACUUGGUUGUACCGUCCGGUCUCGUAGCAGGUAAUCGGUACCUGUGUAGAGAAUCUGCGGUACGUAGGGAAUAGGACAAAAACAGGACAGGCA